rnacentral:rRNA from 1 species
GAUGAACGCUGGCGGCGUGCUUAACUCAUGCAAGUCGAACGGUGAAGGCGGAGCUUGCUCUGCUGGAUCAGUGGCGAACGGGUGAGUAACACGUGAGCAAUCUGCCCCUGACUCUGGGAUAAGCGCUGGAAACGGCGUCUAAUACUGGAUACGAGCUGCGAAGGCAUCUUCAGCAGCUGGAAAGAAUUUCGGUCAGGGAUGAGCUCGCGGCCUAUCAGCUUGUUGGUGAGGUAAUGGCUCACCAAGGCGUCGACGGGUAGCCGGCCUGAGAGGGUGACCGGCCACACUGGGACUGAGACACGGCCCAGACUCCUACGGGAGGCAGCAGUGGGGAAUAUUGCACAAUGGGCGAAAGCCUGAUGCAGCAACGCCGCGUGAGGGACGACGGCCUUCGGGUUGUAAACCUCUUUUAGCAGGGAAGAAGCGAAAGUGACGGUACCUGCAGAAUAAGCGCCGGCUAACUACGUG